UUUUAUUUGAGAGUUUGAUCCUGGCUCAGGAUGAACGCUGGCGGCGUGCCUAACACAUGCAAGUUGAGCGAUUUACUUCGGUAAAGAGCGGCGGACGGGUGAGUAACGCGUGGGUAACCUACCCUGUACACACGGAUAACAUACCGAAAGGUAUGCUAAUACGGGAUAAUAUAUUUGAGAGGCAUCUCUUAAAUAUCAAAGGUGAGCCAGUACAGGAUGGACCCGCGUCUGAUUAGCUAGUUGGUAAGGUAACGGCUUACCAAGGCGACGAUCAGUAGCCGACCUGAGAGGGUGAUCGGCCACAUUGGAACUGAGACACGGUCCAAACUCCUACGGGAGGCAGCAGUGGGGAAUAU
rnacentral:rRNA from 1 species